rnacentral:rRNA from 1 species
GACGUAGGGCGCGAGCGUUUGUCCGGAUUUAUUGGGCGUAAAGAGCUCGUAGGCGGCUUGUCGCGUCGUCCGUGAAAAACUUGGGGGCUCAACCCCCAAGCUUGCGGGCGAUACGGGCAGACUUGAGUACUGCAGGGGAGACUGGAAUUCCUGGUGUAGCGGUGAAAUGCGCAGAUAUCAGGAGGAACACCGGUGGCGAAGGCGGGUCUCUGGGCCGAUACUGACGCUGAGGAGCGAAAGCGUGGGGGAGCGAACAGG